rnacentral:rRNA from 1 species
GACGAACGCUGGCGGCGUGCUUAAUACAUGCAAGUCGAACGGAAAGGCCCUGCUUUUGUGGGGUGCUCGAGUGGCGAACGGGUGAGUAACACGCGUGUAAACUGUCCCUGAAUUUGGGAUAAAUUCAGGAAAAUGGGGAUCAUAUCGGAUAGGAGCUCUUGCUGCAUGGUGGGGGUUGGAAAGUUUCGGCGGUUGGGGAUGGACUCGCGGCUUAUCAGCUUGUUGGUGGGGUAGUGGCUUACCAAGGCUUUGACGGGUAGCCGGCCUGAGAGGGUGACCGGCCACAUUGGGACUGAGAUACGGCCCAGACUCCUACGGGAGGCAGCAGUGGGGAAUAUUGCACAAUGGGCGGAAGCCUGAUGCAGCAACGCCGCGUGCGGGAUGACGGCCUUCGGGUUGUAAACCGCUUUCGCCUGUGACGAAGCGUGAGUGACGGUAAUGGGUAAAGAAGCACCGGCUAACUACGUG